AUUGAACGCUGGCGGAAUGCUUUACACAUGCAAGUCGAACGGCAGCACGGACUUCGGUCUGGUGGCGAGUGGCGAACGGGUGAGUAAUAUAUCGGAACGUGCCCAGUCGUGGGGGAUAACGUAGUGAAAAUUACGCUAAUACCGCAUACGAUCUAUGGAUGAAAGCGGGGGAUCGCAAGACCUCGCGCGAUUGGAGCGGCCGAAAUAAGAUUAGGUAGUUGGUGAGGAAAAGGCUUACCAAGCCGACGAUCUGUAGCUGGUCUGAGAGGACGACCAGCCACACUGGAACUGAGACACGGUCCAGACUCCUACGGGAGGCAGCAGUGGGGAAUUUUGGACAAUGGACGCAAGUCUGAUCCAGCCAUUCCGCGUGCAGGACGAAGGCCUUCGGGUUGUAAACUGCUUUUGUACAGAACGAAAAGGUCUCUAUUAAUACUAGGGGCUCAUGACGGUACUGUAAGAAUAAGCACCGGCUAACUACGUGCCAGCCGCCGCAGUAA
rnacentral:rRNA from 1 species